ACGAACUAUAUAGUUGAAGACAACAACUUGGUGAACAACUUCAAGUAUAACAUAGAAACAAAAUUUAAAUGUCACCGGGAACAAUCACAUUUGCAGUAAGGGUGCUAAAAAACCCAUUUACAAGAGGAAAAAGAAGAAACAGUACAGGAUUCAACAAAACAAAAAACAUCUCCCAGCCCAGUUGCAGAACACAACUGCCAUCAGCAGGGUACACUGGAGCCAAACAGAGAACACCAGCAACAUUCAGAUCUUCGAAUCCUAACUUUGUAGUGACCCAAGGUUUGGGUUGGGAAGAAACCCAGAAAUUUUUGGGUUAUGGAGAAACCCAAAAUCAAGACGAGACCGCACCACCAUCACUGCAUCACCAUCGCAGAUCUGAAUGUUGUUGCUCUUCCCUUUCUUCCUCUGAAAUCGAACAAACAACCACACGCGAAGGGUUGGCUCGAUCUACUCUCCAAAGCUUCGAACUUUCGAUAGUUCGAUUUCAUCAGAUCUGGCGUUUGGGAAAAGGGAAUUAAUGGCUAAUUUGGUGGGGGUGAAGACUAUGGUCAUGAGGUUUUUUGCCGAGUAAACAGUCAUUUUGGUCCUUGAUUUUUUUAUUUUUUUUUAAAAAGGAAAUUAAUUAGGGUUUUUGACUUUCUGGUCAAUUCAGCCCUCUUCUUCUCGUCUUCAUCUAUGAAACCUCCACUACCAGCCCUUCUCUGACUUGCAGGAGCUUGAAAUCAUCAGAUUCUAUGUAUAUCCAUAUCCAACUAUGAAGAAAGAAGAAAAUAAUUUAAGCAUUAAGACAACACGGACUAUAUAGUUUGAAGACAGCAACUUAGUGAACAACUUCAAGUAUAACAUAGAAACAAAAUUUAAAUGUCACCGGGAACAAUCACAUUUGCAGUAAGGGUGCUAAAAAACCCAUUUACAAGAGGAAAAAAAAACAGUACAGGAUUCAAAAAAAAAAAAAAAAUCUCCCAGCCCAGUUGCAGAACACAACUACCAUCAGCAGGGUACACUAGAGCCAAACAGAGAACACCAACAACAUUCAGAUCUUCGAAUCCUAACUUUGUAGUGACCCAAGGUUUGGGUUGGGAAGAAACCCAGAAAUUUUUGGGUUAUGGAGAAACCCAAAAUCAAGACGAGACCGCACCACCAUCACUGCAUCACCAUUGCAGAUCUGAAUGUUGUUGCUCUUCCCUUUCUUCCUCUGAAAUCGAACAAACAAC
rnacentral:lncRNA from 1 species